rnacentral:rRNA from 1 species
AUACGUAGGGGGCGAGCGUUGUCCGGAAUGAUUGGGCGUAAAGGGCGCGUAGGCGGCGCGGUAAGUCUGGAGUGAAAGUCCUGCUUUCAAGGUGGGAAUUGCUUUGGAUACUGCCGCGCUUGAGUGCAGGAGAGGUUAUCGGAAUUCCCGGUGUAGCGGUGAAAUGCGUAGAGAUCGGGAGGAACACCAGUGGCGAAGGCGCGUAACUGGACUGCAAAUGACACUGCGGCGCGAAAGUGUGGGGAGCAAACAGGAUUAGAUACCCUGGUAGUCCACGUUGUAAACGAUGAAUGCUAGGUGGAAGAGGUAACGCCCCCUUGUGCGCCGGAGUCAACACAAUAAGCAUUCCGCCUGGGGAGUACGGCCGCAAGGUUGAAACUCAAAUGAAUUGACGGGG